CGGGAGCGGCAGGUGUGCCGCGUCCUCCGCCCUGCCUCUCCGCGGCUUGUGCUUCCCACUAACACGGACUUCACCGGGUCUUAGAAUUUUACGCCUUAAGCCCAUCUCCUGUUUUUCGCUCCCAGCCCCAAAAGUGAGCUUAAUGAAAAUGUAUUCACUCUGCCAGGAAAAAGGGUGGUGAAAUUGAAUUCAACCUUUGUCCAACUUUGCUGCGCAGCAGUGAGCUUGAGUAUGAAAGGGAGAAAACAUUGAAGGAAAGGAUAAAAACUGGGAAACGGGGUGUGCAGUCAAGAGUAUUUAGAUGUGAACAUCUGGGCAAGGAGGUGUGAGGAAGUGUGGACUUACCCUGGGUCAAGAAGAAAAAGCAAGCUGGAAAUAGAGCAAGAAGCAGAGAGAACAGAACGUGGAGAGGACACUAACAACAGAUAUGAUAUCAUCAAGGCUUCCUUCAGAGGUGCCAACAUGUUGUAUACUUGACCCUUCACCAGAGCAAUUAAGACAUGUUCGAGAUGAAGCUUGUAAGUAAAGUAUUUGUUUUGUUUAAUUACAUCUGGAAAAGAGCUCAAGUGUCUGAAAGCUCUGUCUAAAUAAAUUAUGCUUGUUUGUAAACUUUGCCUUGUUU
ensembl:lncRNA